UACGUAGGGUGCAAGCGUUAAUCGGAAUUACUGGGCGUAAAGCGUGCGCAGGCGGUUUUGUAAGUUUGUCGUGAAAGCCCCGGGCUCAACCUGGGAAUUGCGAUGAAGACUGCAAGGCUUGAAUCUGGCAGGGUAGGGGGUAGUAAUUCCGACGGUAGCAGUGAAAUGCGUAGAGAUGUGGAGGAACACCGAUGGCGAAGGCAGCCCCCUGGGUCAAGAUUGACGCUCAUGCACGAAAGCGUGGGGAGCAAACAGGGA
rnacentral:rRNA from 1 species